rnacentral:sRNA from 1 species
CUCACGCGGGCUGGCGGACCCUCGGUUUUACCCCGAUGGCCCGAUCCGGUGUCUUCGGCCAUGACUCCAUGCGCUGUCGACAAUGCCCGCGGCGGAGCAACCGGAAAAAGGGAAUUUU